rfam:Camelus ferus unplaced genomic scaffold scaffold1459, whole genome shotgun sequence.
GGGGAUAUAGUACAGCACAGUGGUAGAGCACGUGCUUAGCGUGCAUGAGGUCCUGGGUUCAAUCCCCAGUACCUCUG